GAAUGUCGGCCGAAUGUCCGCCGGAAUGUCGGCCGGCGAACCGCUCUAUCGGAGAAGGCUCCGAUAGAGCGGUUCGCCGGCAAUUUAUCCUCUUGAGCAGUUCACUCGCCGUGUGCCUAAGCUUUCGUUAGUCCCUCCAUCGCCUUGCUCACUCCCGGAGUAAUGACAUUUACACGCUCUCCAUCAUCCAACAUAUGUUUUACUUUGUAACUGUUUCUACUUCCAGGCGCGGAGUGAUAUGCAAACUUUCACAAAAUGAUCGGGCGUCAUAGCAGUUAUGUAUACGCCAUUAUACAACAGUUGGGAACCAAUCAGAUCGCUGGAUUUAGGUCCCCCGUUGUAUAACAUGCAUUUUAUGUGGCAGAUUUAUUCUGACAGCAACCAAUCUUUUCUCGAAGUGGGUUGUGGCAAAACCGCUGUGCUCCAAAACAGCCGUUGAGGUGUCACGAAAAAUUGUGAAUAUCCUCCUCGACUUCGGUCUGGUCGACAGGAUUAUUACAGACCAAGGACGGGAAUUUGUUAAUGAGGUACAGUUAUGUUUCUAAAACAGUGUAUGUGUGACAUAGAAUAUUUGUCAUUGAAUCCUAUCUUUCAAGUUAAUUUACAUAAACUAAUGCAUUGCAGCUCAACCAUGGGGUGUUUGCAGCGCUCGGUGUGAAACACUGCAUCACUUCAGCCUAUCACCCACAGGCCAAUGGACAAGCAGAGAGGACAAAUAAGACAAUAAAGUCAGCCCUGGCCAAGUACUGUGGGGAAGAGCAGAAUGACUGGGAUCUGUAUUUAAGGGGAAUUGUUGCAAGUGUCAACACCUCAAAACAGGUAAUAUUAGGUAAGGACUGCAAAUGGAAACAAUAUUCAACAACGACAGAUUUUCAAUAAACUACUGUAUUCCCUUUUAAUUAAGAGAUCAACCAAGUUCACACCUUAUUGUGCCCUUUUUGUGCGGCACCCUCGCUCCCCUGGGGUGAUUAAUUUAGAGAAGGAUGGGGACUCUCUUACGUCGGUCUUGGACUCAAGCGACGAGAAGCUUGAGGCACAAACUGCAGAAGUCGCAGAUCUGCAUGCAAAGAUAUACGAGAACAUAAAAGUGGCCCAAAAAAGGCAGAAGAAGGCCUUUGAACAGGCGAAGGGGAAGAUAUUUAAGUCUUUCUUAUUCAAAGAUGGGGAUGAGGUCAUGAAGGCCAACAUGAGGAAGCAAAGGCGAAAAGGGGGCAAACUAGUACUGGUCAAGUACUGGUCUGGGCCUUAUGUAAUUUCCUCCUUGUCGUCCAAGGGUGUGGCAACGCUGACCAGCAGGACAGGGGUUCAGCUGAAACAGAAGGCCAAUGUUUCCCAGCUGAAGCCUUUCAUUAGGCCUACAUUCAGAGGCAAUAUAAUUCUUAAUAUGAGGACACUUUGAAUCUCCAUUCCAAAUACACUUUCUUGCACAGUACAUUAUCCUUCUCAUUAGACUCCUGCAAGCCCGAGCCUGAUGUCCCGACCCAAUUGGCCGCUGACCACCAGUAUGCCUCCACUGGAGUGGUCUAUUUAAAGAAAAUAAAUCCUGUUCAGGACAUGCUGCUCAACUAUGCCCUUGACCUUAGCAGACCUGGAGGUGAAAUUUCGGUCGAAGAGGGGGAUGUCUGCCUGACAAGGGAAGACUUUUGGAGCUUGGGUCUUCCUAGGAACAUGGAGUCCAAUGUAGGCAUAGGGAAGCUUUAACAUGUAGGGUAUUUUUGGGGGGAAAUAAUUGAAAAAGUUACUUUUGUUACUCUUUUUUUCAGAUCGGAAACUCAUGUUUCAAACUUGUGGCGGAGGCCGCGCGAAGACAUGUGAGGCUUUGUCAUUUGUUGACCUGUGAAACAUUGUAUUUUUUUCCAAAUAAUUUCAACAGUUUUGUAUUGCGAUUUUCCCAUGUGGUGCACUAAUUACUAUGAAUAUUUCAUCUCAAUCAAUACAGGGAAAAGACAUCCACGUCGUUGACGCAUAUGUGAUUCCAACUUGGAAGUCUGAAACAGUGGACCCUAUGGCUGGUCUUCCAGUACGUCAUUAUUUCCUGUAAGCUUCUGUGUAGUUUGAGACUGACCAACAGUAAAUGCCCAAAAAUGUGUUCAAAUUGCUAGGGUGACCUGCUGCAGAAGGACCUAAUCAUCCUCCCUGCCUGGAGCCGACAGCCAGGGAAAGCAGACCAAUAUGUGCUUUGCGUGAGUCUAUUACAGAUACUCUCAACCGGUGAAGUAAAAAUGAGCUGCAGUUUUGGGAUAUGUUUUCAUUCCUAAUUAUGGACUGUUUGUGAUCUGAGCUGUUCUGUGAAUGAUUUACGGGUCAUGAAACUAGCAGAUAGAGAGCUCAUUUUGCUGGACUCUCUAGAACCAGAAGGGUUUGGUGACAUUCGUUACCAGGACAUUUUUAGGUUUUGUAACAUAUGGACAGCUAUCAGCCCUGUUCUGUGGCUUGAAUGGAUAUUGUACAGAUUUCAUAGUAUUCUAUUGGCAAGGGUUGUCAACUGAUUUAGAUUCAAUUUCUAAUACAAUUCAUUCAAAAAACAAUAUGUCUGCAACCGGAUACAAUGAAAUAUAAUCAAGCCUCGUUCAAAGGCCAUUUUCAAGGUUAGCCCUGUUCAGUGGCUAUAAAUGCUAUUUUUGCUUGCAAUGGUAUUUCUGAAGUAAGGACACCUAAUAAUUUUGAUUGGUCUUCACAGGGACCUAGCACAGCGCAUUGCCCCAGGCCAAUGGAGAACUAAGCAUGGCAGAGACUUCGAGGUACAGUUCUUUCGUUUCAUGUACUUGCAUGUGCUUGUUUUUAUUUUCCUUUAGCCCAUGUCACGGUGGUAUUGCCUAUCUAACGCCUUGCCUAUGUCUUACAGGGUUUCCCGUGCCAAACCACUGGCAAUUAAUGUGGUGUCCUCAUCCUGAUGGUAAAUACCUUAUGUAGUCUCUAUUUAAGGUGUGUUGGUAUUAUUUGACACUGUCAUAGCUUCAUAUGUUUCCCUUUUACAGUACGCAUUCUGCACCUGCACAGAUGCUCCAUUUCUUUUCACCGAGGUCAGCAUUUUAUUUAUGGGACAAAGGAGACAUAAAACCAACACCACUGUGUUGUUUCUUUUUAACGUUGAUUUAUGGAGACUUUACUCGAAACAGUAACUGGCAUGCAAAAUGUUUAAUGUUGAGCAGAGAAGUUAUGAAGUACUGAUUUUGGCUGAUGUAGUACUCAACCUAAUGCAUAUAUUCUUCCAUUAAUUUUAGCUGGACAUGGCAGACAUCAGGAAAUGGUGGUGCAUUUCCCUGAUGGAACGUUUCCAGAUCGAUGGGUAUGACAGAACUUUGAAAGUAAUUUCUUAAUUUUUUUUUUUUUAUAAAUAGGUUUAACUAUUAUGUUACUAUCUCACUCAAAAGCCACGGACGGAGGCUUGCAUACUGGACCAAGGAGGCACGAGCAUUGCUCGCAGGGUUGCUGGAGCCAGUGUUUAGGGUCCCAAAGGCCAGAAAGACUGAACAUAAGGUUCAGUCUGAGAAGUCCGACCUGUGCUUCAUUUCGGAGUGAGGGGUUGAGAGAGAGAAGGAAGACGCUCUCUGCGAGCCAGAGAGAGCUUAGCUAGACCACGGGACGGACUGAACGAACAUUCGUCGUUGUCCAUUUGUUCAUGUACAUUGUGUUUAUUUGCCACGAACGGGAAAUAAACCGGAGUUCGCUUCAUUUUCACCAAGAACUGUGUCCUGACUCAUUGGAACCCGUUACAGCCCCAUUGCGUUUGAAACUGUUGUGUUAUCUAUGAAAUCUUCUUGAUCUUGCCUGACAUAUAUUUUACAGUUGCCAAAGUCAGUGUUGUCUGACAUCCUCACUGAGGUGGUACUCCAAGAGGGAGAUAAAGCUUACCCAACUCUGGCUCUGGUGUGUUCCACCUUCAGGGACAUAGUGUCCACUGACAAGUUCAAAAGACAGGCACAUUUUCUGUGGCUCAACAGUAAGUGCUUCAGUGAAGGGUGCAUCAGUGUACAAUAUCCUAAUUUAAUAUAAUAAUGUAAUGUCCUGUGGGGUCUAUACAUGUUUUUACUGCUCUAUAAAAAUAAAUGUGCUUUCAUCUUACACUUUGUUUGUCACAGGCGUCACUACAUGGUGUGUAGAGUAUCCGCCAACUACAGAGCAGAGUUCUACACCAUGUACAGUAUUGGGACCUGCAUGGCAUGUGGUCGGAUCUACAAAGUCUGCACAGGUUCUUAACUUCGAUAAUAGGGACUUUAAGCAGCAACGUUUUAUGGGAGGCAACGGCAUCGGGUUGCCGUAAUAUAACUCAAGUAUCACUUAGCCACUCUCUACUUGCUUGACAAAACACCCAUUCCUCCUUAUAAACAGACGGACUACUGGAACAGGAGGUGAUAACAUAAAUUCCAGAAUGCAAUAAGUUGUUCUCGAGGUAGCCCUCCACUCAACGGUUGCUGCUCCAAAUCCCUAAUCUUAUGCGUCAGUACAAGUGUUGAGGUCAUACCUGUAUAAACCGCAUGCAAAGUGUGUGGUUAGACUGAUUUCAUUUUUUAUUUCUGUUUUAGGAUAUAUUACAGGUACAGGGAAAAGAGGCAAACUGGAAGGAAUAUAUUCCGACAGCUACGACGGGGGGUACUGUGAUGACAUCUGCCGUCCAAGAUCAUAGGUACAUUUAAGUUGUAAAUAUGGAUACAAAUCCCUGACGAGACUAAUUGUAUGAAGUUGAAGGUCUCAAGAUAAAUACAUCUGCACACCUCUGCUUCUUUCAGAU